GAUCAUGAUGAUGCUAGCCAGGGCCCCUGUCCUAUACAGGCCUCUGCUGUGGGGGUGAUGGCCAGUCCUGGUCUCUUAGUGAUU